AGAGUUUGAUUCUGGCUCAGAACGAACGCUGGCGGCGUGGAUAAGACAUGCAAGUCGAACGGGACUUUUCCGAGUAGCAAUACCUGGGAAAGUUUAGUGGCGAACGGGUGCGUAACACGUGGGGAAUCUGCCGAGAAGUGGGGGAUAGCUCGCCGAAAGGCGAAUUAAUACCGCAUACGAUCAGGGAAGACAUCUUUCCGACAUCAAAGCCGGGGCAACCUGGCGCUUCUUGAUGACCCCGCGGCCUAUCAGCUAGUUGGUGAGGUAACGGCCCACCAAGGCUAUGACGGGUAGCUGGUCUGAGAGGACGACCAGUCACACUGGAACUGAGACACGGUCCAGACACCUACGGGUGGCAGCAGUCGAGAAUUUUUCUCAAUGGGGGCAACCCUGAAGGAGCGACGCCGCGUGGAGGAUGAAGGCUUUCGGGUUGUAAACUCCUGUCAUUUGAGAACAAGUGGGACGCAGUAACUACGCGUCCCUUGAUAGUAUCAGAAGAGGAAGGGACGGCUAACUCUGUGCCAGCAGCCGCGGUAAUACAGAGGUCCCGAGCGUUGUUCGGAUUCAUUGGGCGUAAAGGGUGCGUAGGUGGCGCCGUAAGUGGGGUGUGAAAUUUCGGAGCUUAACUCCGAAACUGCAUUCCAUACUGCGGUGCUUGAGGACUGGAGAGGAGACUGGAAUUUACGGUGUAGCAGUGAAAUGCGUAGAGAUCGUAAGGAAGACCAGUGGCGAAGGCGGGUCUCUGGACAGUUCCUGACACUGAGGCACGAAGGCCAGGGGAGCAAACGGGAUUAGAUACCCCGGUAGUCCUGGCAGUAAACGGUGCACGUUUGGUGUGGGAGGAUUCGACCCCUUCCGCGCCGGAGCUAACGCGUUAAACG
rnacentral:rRNA from 1 species